rnacentral:rRNA from 1 species
UACAGAGGGGGCAAGCGUUUGUUCGGAAUUACUGGGCGUAAAGGGCGCGUAGGCGGCCUUCUAAGUCGAACGUGAAAUCCCCGGGCUCAACCCGGGAACUGCGUCCGAUACUGGAAGGCUUGAAUCCGGGAGAGGGAUGCGGAAUUCCAGGUGUAGCGGUGAAAUGCGCAGAUAUCAGGAGGAACACCGAUGGCGAAGGCAGGUCUCUGGGCCACUACUGACGCUGGAGGAGCGAAAGCGUGGGGAGCGAACAGG